GUUUAGGGUUUAGGUUAGGGUUUGAUUUAGGAUUUGGAUUAGGAUUUGGAUUAGGGUUUAGAUUAGGGUUUGGAUUAGGGUUUGAAUUAGGGUUUAGAGUUUGGUUAGGGUUUGAUUUAGGAUUUGAUUAGGGUUUGAUUUAUGGUUUGGAUUAGGGUUUGAAUUAGGAUUUAGGAUUUGGUUAGGGUUUGAUUUAGGAUUUGGAUUAGGGUUUGAAUUAGGGUUUAAGAUUUGGUUAGGGUUUGAUUUAGGAUUUGGAUUAGGAUUUGAUUAGGAUUUAAUUUAAGAUUUGGUUUAGGAUUUAGGAUUUGAUUAGAGUUUGGAUUAGGGUUUAGAAUUUGAUUUAUGGUUUGAUUUAGGGUCUGGUUUAGGGUUUGAUUUAGAGUUUGGUUUAGGGUUUGAUUUAUAGUUUGGUUUAGGAUUUAGGAUUUGAAAUAGGAUUUGAUUUAGGAUUUAAUUUAAGGUUUAUUUAGGAUUUGACUUAGGAUUUAGGAUUUAUUAGGGUUUAAGAUUUAAUUAAGUUUGGUUUAAAGUUUGAGUGAAAUUUAAUAGGAUUUUAACUAGAAUUAAAUUAAGGUUGAAUUGAUAUAUAUAUUUGAGUAAUAUUUGUGAUCAUUCUAAUAUUUCUUUAAAAAUUUUAUUGUUUGUUUGAAAUUUCUUUGAGUUGUUUUGAAUUUGAUUACGUUUGUUUACCAUUAUUAUAGUCUAAUUAGAGCAUUGUUAGUAUUCUAUUAGAAUUAGGAUUUUGUUAUCACAAUUUCUAUUCUUUCUUCUACAGCCAGGUGCCCGGAGCAUUCUCAAGCAAG
rnacentral:lncRNA from 1 species